rnacentral:rRNA from 1 species
AAAGUGGAGCAAUCCAUGAGUAGAGUGGCAAACGGGUGAGUAACGCGUGGGUGACCUACCUUCGAGUGGGGGAUAACGUCCCGAAAGGGACGCUAAUACCGCAUGACAUCCUGCCUUUGAACAGGCGGAGAUCAAAGCCGGGGAUCGCAAGACCUGGCGCUUGAAGAGGGGCCCGCGUCUGAUUAGCUAGUUGGUGGGGUAACGGCUCACCAAGGCGACGAUCAGUAUCCGGCCUGAGAGGGCGGACGGACACACUGGGACUGAGACACGGCCCAGACUCCUACGGGAGGCAGCAGUGGGGAAUUGUUCACAAUGGGCGCAAGCCUGAUGACGCAACGCCGCGUGGAGGAUGAAGGUCUUCGGAUUGUAAACUCCUGUUGCUCGGGACGAAAAGCUCCGACCUAAUACGUCGGAGUCUGACGGUACCGGGUGAGGAAGCCCCGGCUAACUCUGUGCCAGCAGCCGCGGUAAUACAGAGGGGGCAAGCGUUGUUCGGAAUUACUGGGCGUAAAGGGCGCGUAGGCGGCCUGCUAAGUCGAACGUGAAAUCCCCGGGCUCAACCCGGGAACUGCGUCCGAUACUGGCGGGCUUGAAUCCGGGAGAGGGAUGUGGAAUUCCAGGUGUAGCGGUGAAAUGCGUAGAUAUCUGGAGGAACACCGGUGGCGAAGGCGGCAUCCUGGACCGGUAUUGACGCUGAGGCGCGAAAGCCAGGGGAGCAAACGGGAUUAGAUACCCCGGUAGUCCUGGCCCUAAACGAUGAAUGCUUGGUGUGGCGGGUAUCGAUCCCUGCCGUGCCGAAGCUAACGCAUUAAGCA